AAAGCGAUAUGGUUCCAGCAAAAACUAAAAAUUGUUUCUAGUAAACAAUGUUUUGAUCCAGCAAAAACUAAACAUGGUUUCAACAAAUUUUUGAUACGGUUCCAGAAAAAUUGAAAAGGUUUCCAGCAAAAUUGAAAUAUCAAUGCAGCAAAAAAAAAAUCAUGCCGGCCACCGCUGUCCCAGCGCCAUCCUCGUCGGUUGUAGCAAAGUCAAAUGCUGGUUCCAGCAAAAAUUAUAUGCAGCAAAAAAUCCUGGCGGCCAUCGCCGUCGCCGCCCAAAACUACCCUCCCCUGUUGCAGCAAAAUCGAAAGAUGGUUCCUGCAAAAAUCAAAACUGGUUCCAGCAAAAAAACAAAAAUAUGCAUGAACUUACUGCAGUCACCGUCCGUCGCCGCCCACCACCGUCGCCGUUGUCCCCGUUGACGCCGCUAGCAGCU
rnacentral:lncRNA from 1 species